rnacentral:rRNA from 1 species
CGAGCGACCAACCCCUAUCUUUAGUUGCCAUCAGUUCGGCUGGGCACUCUAUGGAGACUGCCGGUGUUAAACCGGAGGAAGGUGGGGAUGACGUCAAGUCCUCAUGGCCUUUAUGACCAGGGCUACACACGUACUACAAUGGCCGGUACAACGGGCAGCGAAGGAGCGAUCCGGAGCGAAUCCUAAAAAGCCGGUCCCAGUUCGGAUUGCAGGCUGAAACUCGCCUACAUGAAGUUGGAGUUGCUAGUAAUCGCGAAUCAGAAUGUCGCGGUGAAUGCGUUCCCGGGCCUU